CGGGGGGCAGCAGUGGGGAAUAUUGGGCAAUGGGCGGAAGCCUGACCCAGCGACGCCGCGUGAGGGACGAAGGCCUUCGGGUUGUAAACCUCUUUCAGUAGGGAAGAAGCGAAAGUGACGGUACCUACAGAAGAAGCACCGGCUAACUACGUGCCAGCAGCCGCGGUAAUACGUAGGGUGCAAGCGUUGUCCGGAAUUAUUGGGCGUAAAGAGCUCGUAGGUGGUUUGCCACGUCGGAUGUGAAAACCUGAGGCUUAACCUCAGGCCUGCAUUCGAUACGGGCAGACUAGAGUGUGGUAGGGGAGACUGGAAUUCCUGGUGUAGCGGUGAAAUGCGCAGAUAUCAGGAGGAACACCGAUGGCGAAGGCAGGUCUCUGGGCCAUAACUGACACUGAGGAGCGAAAGCGUGGGGAGCAAACAGGAUUAGAUACCCGAGU
rnacentral:rRNA from 1 species